rnacentral:misc_RNA from 1 species
CGCCCAUCUUCCACCAUUUUCUUCUUCAUCCAUCUCGCUCUUUAUCUAUUCCAACAGAUACAUUCUUUUGUUUUUCUCUUCAACAAUCAUAUCUACCAUUCAGAUUUCGGAGUUUACCUGAUCGGUGAAUAAUAUGAAACGACACAGCUGACGCUCUACUUCUUGAAAUUCUUGAUUCUCCGAUUUUCCUUUUCAUCAUGGGAAACUACGUCUCUUGCAAGCUAGCAAACCCAUUAUUUCUCAAGAACUCAAAAUCAACAAAAGUGAUCUUCCCAUCUGGAGAAAUCCGGCAUGUCCACCAACCCACCAAAGCCGCUGAACUCAUGAUGGAGGAACCGAACUUCUUCAUCGUUAACUCCAAGUCCCUGAAAAUUGGCCGUAGAUUUUGCACUCUCAAUGCAGACGAUGACAUUCAAGAGGCAAAUGUGUACGUCAUGUUUCCAAUGCAUAGAAAGAACUCUGUGGUUACAGCAAGCGACCUAGGUGCUCUGUUCUUGAAUGCCAACUCUGCAGUGAAACGGGUUUCUGGAGGGAAAGUUAGGGUCCAGCCAGAUACUACUGUGGACGCACUGGACUCGGUGGCGGUGCCCAGGUUGAGCUUGGAAGGUAUAGAAGAAGUUUCGACACCAGAGUUUAGGCAUAGGAUGUCCAUGUCACGGUCAAGGAAGCCAUUGUUGUCAACCAUAGAUGAAGAGCCAGUUCGUUCAAGAUGAUAAUGGGUUCUUCUAUGGAUUUUAAGGUCCUGGUUUUGUUUUAGGACAAAAGAAAAAUUAUGUUUUGGGAACAAAAUCUAUAAAUUGAGCCCAAUUACAAAAUUAAAUGUACACGAUUAUUUUCUCUUUUUUUUUAUUUUUUUUAUAUAUAUAGAAACAAUCAAACAAGAACAUUUUUC